ensembl:snoRNA SNORA73 Small nucleolar RNA SNORA73 family
GUGCCGAGGGGAUCCGGCGGGUUGCUCCCGCCGGCUCUCCCCGAGUGGCGUUAUGGGAGCGCCGAGUCGUCGCGGCUCCGUGGCGUCUGGUCCCGUUCCACGUCGGCACAGAGAAACGUCGCCCCCGCUCCCCCGCUCGCGAGGGAGUGGUGCGGGCGACCCUCCUGUAUAUUCCUACGACUCCCCCAGCCCCUGGGCUCUGACAGUGGAGACAAACCAUGCAGGAGACAUUC